ACUCCUACGGGAGGCAGCAGUGGGGAAUAUUGGACAAUGGGGGGAACCCUGAUCCAGCCAUGCCGCGUGUGUGAAGAAGGCCUUUUGGUUGUAAAGCACUUUAAGCGAGGAGGAGGCUCCCAGUAUUAAUACUACUGGAGAGUGGACGUUACUCGCAGAAUAAGCACCGGCUAACUCUGUGCCAGCAGCCGCGGUAAUACAGAGGGUGCAAGCGUUAAUCGGAUUUACUGGGCGUAAAGCGUGCGUAGGUGGCCAAUUAAGUCAAAUGUGAAAUCCCCGAGCUUAACUUGGGAAUUGCAUUCGAUACUGGUUGGCUAGAGUAUGGGAGAGGAUGGUAGAAUUCCAGGUGUAGCGGUGAAAUGCGUAGAGAUCUGGAGGAAUACCGAUGGCGAAGGCAGCCAUCUGGCCUAAUACUGACACUGAGGUACGAAAGCAUGGGGAGCAAACA
rnacentral:rRNA from 1 species